AUGAGGGCUGAGCCUCCACGCCUGUGGCCGGAGGGCGGCCCAGCAGCGCAGGACACGGGUGGGGGGGAAGAGCCUCCCACGGGAAGCCGCAGAGAGGAGCCGCGGAGCCGCGCGGCGGGGCCAGGGUGUGCUCGUUGUCCCGACGGCCGCAGGGCGCUGCACCCCCGCCCGUGGGCAGGGCGGCCAGCCGGAGGGGGGCGCGGGCGGGGCGGGCGCGGGGGGUCACGCCCGUGCCCACGCGUACCGCAGGCAGCCCGCCGGCUCCCCAGGCCCGGGCGCCGUCCGAGACACCGGAGACGCGGCUGCCCCCCGCCCCGCCCCGCCCCGCCCCGCGGCGUCGGUGCGCACGGCCGGACCCGGGCAGGGGCAGGGGCAGGGGCAGGGGCGGGGCGGAGCGGGCGAGCAGGGCGGCCGGGGUGCGCGGGGGCUUCGGGGGCCUCGGGGCCCGGCCCCGCCGCGCUGCGCUCCCGGGCGCUGGCCCUGCGGGCGCCGCUUGGGGCGGGCGGGGCCGUGGCCGCCUCCGGGCUGCAGGGGGCGGGCCCCGCGGAGCCGCCGACGCGCAUUGGCCGCUGCGGCGCAGGAAGCGCGUCCGCCGGGGGCCGCGGGCGCUGGGGGCGUGUCCGGGCCGCGCCGCACCGCCCGCCUCGGACGCCGGGACCGCGAGGGCGACAUGGGGCGGCGGCGCCGGGCGGAGCAGGAGCGGGCGGGCGCGGCCGGGGCCCUGCCGGACGCCAUCGCCGCGCUCAGCCGGACGCUGCCCGCCGGGCCCAGCCCCGAGACCUUCCGCCGCGCCAAGUUCGACCGUCCGGAGGCGGCCCCGCCGCUCUGGCGGAUGCUCUUCCUCGCGCUCUCGCCGCUGCCGGGCGACUGCGCCCCUGCGCCCCGGGCCCCGCCGGCGCCCCCGGCCCUGGGUAAGCCCCGCCCACCGCGAGCCCCGCCCACCGCGAGCCCCGCCCCCGCAGGAAGCCGCGCCCCGCAGCCCUGGCCCUGCCCACUCGCCGCGGGGGCCUCCGGCUCCUGUGGCCCCGCCCCCCG
rnacentral:lncRNA from 12 species